GGCUGGAACUCAAAUGCUGACAUCGACUCCUGAGCCAGGCGCUGCCUCGCGCCUGAUUGGCGGGUCCUCGGGGCCGCCCUCCUCAGCGCACCACCCCUGGGUUCCCUCCCGGGUCCGCAGUGGAAACACUGCCCUCUCCCUUCUUGACCCCUAGCCCGCCCUUCCCUGCCUCCUUCCCUCCUGUCGCCCUCUCUUCUGGCGCCGCUGCUCCCGGAGGAGCUCCCGGCACGGCGAUGGGUUCUCGGGCCUCCACGUUACUGCGGGACGAAGAGCUCGAGGAGAUCAAGAAGGAGACCGGCUUUUCCCACAGUCAAAUCACUCGCCUCUACAGCCGGUUCACCAGCCUGGACAAAGGAGAGAACGGGACUCUCAGCCGGGAAGAUUUCCAGAGGAUUCCAGAACUUGCCAUCAACCCAUUGGGGGACCGGAUCAUCAAUGCCUUCUUUCCAGAGGGAGAGGACCAGGUAAACUUCCGUGGAUUCAUGCGAACUUUGGCUCAUUUCCGCCCCAUUGAGGAUAAUGAAAAGAGCAAAGAUGUGAAUGGAUCCGAACCUCUCAACAGCCGAAGCAACAAACUGCACUUUGCUUUUCGACUGUAUGAUUUGGAUAAAGAUGAAAAGAUCUCCCCUGAUGAGCUGUUACAGGUGCUACGCAUGAUGGUCGGAGUAAAUAUCUCAGAUGAGCAGCUGGGCAGCAUCGCAGACAGGACCAUUCAGGAGGCUGAUCAGGAUGGGGACAGUGCCAUAUCUUUCACAGAAUUUGUUAAGGUUUUGGAGAAGGUGGAUGUAGAACAGAAAAUGAGCAUCCGAUUUCUUCACUAAAGGAGACCAAACUGUUCCUUGUGGUCUAGUAUUUAAGAACUGGAACUUGAAAGUCCUCCUUCCACCAACUCCACCUCCACCCCCUCAUUCCCCUUCUCCCAAAGUACUACUGCUGUUGCAUGACAACCCCAAAUAUGUUCUGUCAACACAAACCUGCCUUUGGUGUAUAAACAGGGCAUUACAGAAUGGUACACCCUAUCUAUUUCUGUUCAGUAUCCAUUCACUAGUUCUUCAUUUCUAAAUAUCUUCCCUAUUCUGCCGCUGAAUGCCACACAUCCAUCCAGUCUGAGAAAGUGAGAGAGGCAAUCAUGCCAAGAACAAGCCAGCAAAGCUCUUUCACCAGGUGUAGAAUGUAGCCCUGCUGCCUUCCCUCCAGUGAGUCUGCCAGCAUGCUUUAUCCUUUUUAUAUGUUCUUUGCUUCCUACUUCUGUGUCAUCCAACAUACUGUUCACUUACUCUGGCAGUCUUUCUGCCUUUCAUUAAGCCUCAAAAUCUCCUCUGUUCUACUUGGCACCACAAGCUAUGCCCUAUAUAUGUAUUUCUGACUUGGCAGGAUAGUUCAGGGGUCUGGCAGUUUUUAUUUACCUUCAUUAUUAAAUGGGCCUCUGGGAUAUUGCCUCUCCAG